rnacentral:lncRNA from 1 species
GCAAAACAUUAUUUUAACAGUUCAGAUACUUACAAAGGCAGCAGUUUGCUGAAUACUGCUGAUUUAGAGAUGAUCAAGUUUAUUCUAACUUUUGGAGCCGGCGUUUACGCUGGCAUCUACGCUUGCCAAAAUUACAAUAUCCCGCGGGUCGAUGAUCCAUCAGAAAUAAUGGACAAAGUUCGAGAGUUCACCGACAAAUACAAGAAGAAUUGAUAAAGAGCCGUUUUAGCACCUGGCUGGUGCAGCAGCCGGUGAAGGACCGUGGAGUCUGGUCCGAAGCCGACCGCACCAGCCAGCCGUCAGACCCCGUGUAUUCCAGUGUGGCAGAUCAGUCAACUGCCUGACACAGCGCCCCGAUCGAAUGAAGCUCCUGCCGCCGUGAUCACCGCCGCGUAUAUAAACACUGUUGGAACUAUGACGUGUAUUUUCAUGUAAAUAGAGCAGUAUCCACUGACGAA